GCUGGCGGGCGGUGCGGACAGAUCGUGAUGGCCUUAGACUUUCGUAGAUCUAAGGUCAUCACGUUUUGUCCCUACCGUCCAGCCGAA
rnacentral:pre_miRNA from 1 species